rnacentral:lncRNA from 1 species
GCGCCGAUUGUCUCCGACUCCGAUCGUCGUCGCCCCCCAUCUAUCGAUCUCUAUCCUGCAAAGCUGCGACGAGCAGUGGAGCACAUCGUCUGACGACGGCGACGACCUCUAGCCACGCACCCGGUUGUCUUCUUCUAAUCUUCUUCCUUCCGGCGGGGCGAUGUAGAGAUAGAUGGUGUGGACGGCGGCCGGUCCCCGCCGCCGGCCGGGGCGACCCGACCCAUGAGGCCACGACCGCCGGCCGCGUACGUCGUCAAUAAUUGUGCGGCCGUGGGGGUACGCCAACACGUCGAAUCGGAUGAAUUGAAGCUCGCUGCUGCACUAUCGAUCACUGGCGACG